CAAGACCUGUGAAAUUCUAAACACAUCCCCUGAAUGCAACUCAGAUGUUUUACUUAAACUAAGGCCUC
rnacentral:tRNA from 1 species